GGAAGUAAAAGUCGUAACAAGGUUUCCGUAGGUGAACCUGCGGAAGGAUCAUUAGUGAUUGCCUUUAUAGGCUUAUAACUAUAUCCACUUACACCUGUGAACUGUUCUACUACUUGACGCAAGUCGAGUAUUUUUACAAACAAUGUGUAAUGAACGUCGUUUUAUUAUAACAAAAUAAAACUUUCAACAACGGAUCUCUUGGCUCUCGCAUCGAUGAAGAACGCAGCGAAUUGCGAUAAGUAAUGUGAAUUGCAGAAUUCAGUGAAUCAUCGAAUCUUUGAACGCAGCUUGCGCUCUCUGGUAUUCCGGAGAGCAUGCCUGUUUCAGUGUCAUGAAAUCUCAACCACUAGGGUUUCCUAAUGGAUUGGAUUUGGGCGUCUGCGAUUUCUGAUCGCUCGCCUUAAAAGAGUUAGCAAGUUUGACAUUAAUGUCUGGUGUAAUAAGUUUCACUGGGUCCAUUGUGUUGAAGCGUGCUUCUAAUCGUCCGCAAGGACAAUUACUUUGACUCUGGCCUGAAAUCAGGUAGGACUACCCGCUGAACUUAAGCAUAUCAAUAAGCGGAGGA
rnacentral:misc_RNA from 1 species